rnacentral:rRNA from 1 species
CCUACGGGAGGCUGUAGUAGGGAAUCUUCCACAAUGGGCGCAAGCCUGAUGGAGCACCACCGCGUGAGUGAAGAAGGGUUUCGGCUCGUAAAGCUCUGUUGUUGGAGAAGAACGUUCGUGAGAGUAACUGUUCACGCAGGUACGGUAUCAAACCAGAAAGUCAAGGCUAAAUACGUGCCAGCAGCCGCGGUAAUACGUAGGUGGCAAGCGUUAUCCGGUUUUAUUGGGCGUAAGGCGAGCGUAGGCGGUUGCUUAGGUCUGAUGUGAAAGCCUUCGGCUUAACCGAAGAAGUGCAGCGGAAACCGGGCGACGUGAGUGCAGAAGAGGACAGUGGAACUCCAUGUGUAGCGGUGGAAUGCGUAGAUAUAUGGAAGAACACCAGUGGCGAAGGCGGCUGUCUGGUCUGCAACUGACGCUGAGGCUCGAAAGCAUGGGUAGCGAACAGGAUUAGAUACCCUGGUAGUC